ensembl:lncRNA CTSLP2 cathepsin L pseudogene 2
UAAGGCUAGUCAUGGAAGUGGGAGAUAGAAAAUAAAGGGUGGGGUCAGUUUCCUUUCUAAAAACCUAAAUGCAUGUCAGGCAAGUAGGGCUUAGAAAAGAAUUUACCCUCCUUCACCUCUGUCACCUCAUCCCUCCUUCCAACCUCCAUCACUUGUGUGGCAAACUGGACUCGGAGCCAGAAGGCACCAGAAAAAGUGGAAUGUGAGCCUGUAGGCCAUCAAGGUGAAGCCCUGAGGAUCCCCCGGGGCCAGUCCCUCCACUUUGAUGCGGAUAAGCCUCAGCUAGUGUCAAGUUGAAAGGAGAAAAAGACAGCCCCUCAGCAGGUGCUGCCUUCCUGUCUUGGUCUCAUUGUCCUCAAAUCAGACCUGCAGAUUUUUGAAACAUGAAUCCUUCACUCCUCCUGGCUGCCUUUUUCCUGGGAAUUGCCUCAGCUGCUCUAACACGUGACCACAGUUUAGACGCACAAUGGACCAAGUGGAAGGCAAAGCACAA